rnacentral:lncRNA from 1 species
ACGUUUCUCUCUCAGGACAUGGGGAAGUACUAGGCAGUCCAUGCUUCUUUCAGCAGCUGCCUGAAACCACAGGUGGCUCCACCCAGUGCUUCACUGAAUGGAGGUCUGCUGCCUCCAGAAGCCCCAUUCAGGCUAUCCCCCCAACAAAUCUGGCAGCUACCAACCUUCACAGGUACAUCCUGGCCAGUCCAGCACACAGAGAAGCUGUGAUGGAAGUUUGUGCAACUCUGUUUCCAGGAACACUCUUGCAACUCUGAAGGCUUGUCUGUUUGGACUUCAAAGAAGAACAAGGUUCACUUAUGCCCAAUGGAAAAGAUCAUCUACCUCAUAUCCAGAAGACUGCAAAAUACCAUUGUGCCUCAUUGUCUCUGACUAGGUUAUGUGCCUACUCCUAAAACAAUCACUCUAAUGGUAUUUCAGUGCUCUGGAAGUUUACACUUAAGUUGUUCCAAAGAGGAAAAUGAAGGCACUAUUACCAGAAGAACUGUGAUUGGAUGCUAGGCUGCAAUUCCAAAUGAUAUUGCAAUUCAACACAUUUUGCUGCUCAGAAUUUAUACGAACCCUUCUUGUCAUAUAUACUCAUUCAAAAAAUGUCUCCACAAAAGUGUUCUUUCAUCAAUUACUGAUGGAAUGGGAAUUGUUAUCAGGUUUGGAAAAUACCUUUGCAAGAGUAACUGCUAUUUUACUUCUAAGGCAAUAGAUUAGUUUGACUGUUUUUGAAGUUUAAAUAAAUUGUAAAGAAAACUGUGUGCCCUUUUGUUGUCUUCAUUUCAACAUACUUGUAAGAUUUAUUCAUGUUGUUAAAUGUGGUUGUAGUCUCAUUGUAUGAAUAUACCAAAAACAUAUACAGUCUACUGCUGAUGGACAUUUGGGUGAUUUCCAGCUUAGAGCUAUUAUACAUGGUUGAACACAUCUAUUU